GCACGACUGAACACAGCCAAACGGAUUUUCAAUAAUAACCUUCAUGUAGCAAUCAUCCUGAACCUCUCAAAACAACCGGAAGGAAGUCCGAGCGGAAGACAGACAGCAGCACGACUUCGUCUACAUUUUUCAAGCCAGCACUCACCUGGCUGAAAAGGGAGGUUUGUCCAGGCCGAACCACAGAACAACACUGCUGCAGAGAGGAAGACUUCAAUGGGUGUGCAGAGAUUGUAAAGCUGCAUUAGGACCACAGAUAAUCGCCGAUCAAGGUUGCCAGGAGUGAUCAGUGUUACAGUGAAAGGGGCACCUCUGCAUUGAGUCUACACGGAACUGUUCCUACACGUCAACCCACACUCACCUGACACCCGUGUGAACAGAUCCAAACAAGCCAGUGUGUGAGAUCGGUUCACACAAAACUUCCUGAUUUGUAAUGUUCAGGUAAAGGCUGCUCAGUAGAAAAUCAAUGAUGACUGUCACCGCUGCAAAUUCAGCUUUCCUGUGACAGUGAACGGAAACUAAUGGGUAUGAAAAUAGCCUUCAAGCUAAACACAAUAUGACUCGGUGUACUGGGGCAUGUUGCCACGACCGGCCUAUAAAUUCACUGAUACCCAGGGCCAAUUCUGCCUAAUGCUUCAGAACUAAUGUAAAUGAUGAUGAGCGGUAUUACCAGACCUGCGCUACUCCUGAUCACCUGAGCCCAGGGAAGCUAUUAUCUUGAGAUGGCAAAAGUUGAGAAAAGAUGAAGAGAAAAUUGUAGAAACACUUUAGGAGGAUAUUAGAGAGAUAGAUUAUUUGUCAUCAUCAUUGCUUAAACAAAAAACGAGUUCUGCCUGGACUACUACAACAGAAACGUCUGCCUAGAGAAACGUACAGUGUAUGGUUGUAGUUAUUGUAAUUAUAUUUUUGUAAAAUCCUCACACGUUAUUUUAGACCUUAAUUUCACUACUGCAAAUGGUAUUCGAAUAGAAAUAAUCCCUUUUUUAUUUCCGUUUAUCCUGCACGGGUUGCCUACGGAUUUACCAUCUGUUCCAAUGCUGUAUGUUUCAGUGCAUCCAGAUCAAGAAAUAUGCUGCAAAUUCCCAACAAAACUAAGCCAACUGUUCUG